UACGGGGGGGGCAAGCGUUGUUCGGAAUUACUGGGCGUAAAGGGCUCGUAGGUGGCCAACUAAGUCAGACGUGAAAUCCCUCAGCUUAACUGGGGAACUGCGUCUGAUACUGGAUGGCUUGAGUUUGGGAGAGGGAUGCGGAAUUCCAGGUGUAGCGGUGAAAAUGCGUAGAUAUCUGGAGGAACACCGGUGGCGAAGGCGGCAUCCUGGACCGCAUUGACGCUAAAAGCGCAAAA
rnacentral:rRNA from 1 species